UUACAGCAGAUAUUAAAUGCUCUGAUAGGAGCUUCGCCAGUGUUUGAGCUGUCUAUUAGAGGAAGGGAAAUUGUGAAUUGUUGUUCGCACUGUGUGCUGGUGCGGUAGUGUUAAGGUUGUUUCAGAAUCACUCAUCCUAGCUGAAUAAGUUAGUUUGGCUAUUUUUGUGUGUGCAUGUUUGUGCAUAAGCACAUUAUGACCAAACAGCUUACUAGCAUUAGAUGUCUUUAUACUGAAAUGAAAUGAAAAACAAGUUUUUGGAUCUAAAAUAGUUAAUUUAACAGAUAUUUAGAUCUUACAAUGCUCUUUUUAAGCAAUGGAUUUGUUGGAAUAACCAGGCUAUAUGACCAUUUGCUUUUAGCAGAGAAAUGCUGAUUUCCAUCAGCUGAAGGUCUAACCCCACAGGAAGUGGCACCUGAAAGAGUUUACAGCAACUUCCCUGCCUUCCACACCUUGAUCAUGCACAGGACUUUGCCUGCUUCUACACAUGAACUAACUUAGAAGAAACAUCACUUCCCAAUAUAACUGUUACGCUAUAAAUUAACAUUCACGUCAUGGCCAAAUCCUCGUAGCAGUUGUGCUGUACAGUGAAGCUGCUUUCCAGAGUCACAGAGGCACAGCCUGAGCAGUUUGUGGAGAAGGGGACCAAGUCCCCUCAGCCUAUGCUGGGCUCCAGGUGCUUAUAAAUUGGAGGGAAGGGCACUUGUAAUGCCUUUUUUUUUUUUCCUUUUUUUUUUUUUUUUUUUUUCUGGUAGCACCUGUAUGUUUGAAGUGGUUUAGCUGUUGAUAUUUUCAAGCAGGCCACAACAGUCACAAACCUCUCCUUUGAAACGGGGCCAGAAAAGCACAAACCCUCUGACUCCAGGAGGUGGGAUUUUAAGAAAAGCUACCAGCAGUCGCACAGGUACUGAGGAAAAUGGUGGCACAUAAUGAGCAGGGCACUGUGACUGAAUGCGAGAGGAGAGCAUGCAGCAAGGCACCACAGCAAGAAUGAGGUGCACCCCCAAACAAGUUGUGCACAUGUGGACUGAUGCCAAUGGAACCAAUGGAAUGUCUCUGGGUACACAUUCACUGGGACUGAGGUCCUACCACAUUCUGGGGAUCUGAGUGACCAGGGUAUAGCUCUCCACUCCUUUAUUUUCCUUGAGACAAAGCUUGAAGUGUUCUGUGAAGGAAGAAUCGUACUUGAUUCCCUCAGCUCAUAGUAAGUUGAACUUUAAGCUUUCUAUUGAAGUUAAUCACACUUUCUCUCAUGAGUGAAAAUGUUUUUAACAUGAAACAAUACUCCGCUGAGGCUUGACAAACUAUAUUUUAAUUGUAAUUGAUUUAUACCAAAAGAUAAAAUGAGUUAAUUAGGGCAUGCUAUCAGAAUUAGUGGCAAGGGAAAUACUUUAUACAGCUGGCAGGUAGGGGGUAGGAGACAAGAGAUUUUAAAAGGGAAUAGGACAUUGGCAUUUUUUAACC
rnacentral:lncRNA from 1 species